rnacentral:rRNA from 1 species
AACGAACGCUGGCGGCAGGCUUAACACAUGCAAGUCGAGCGCCCCGCAAGGGGAGCGGCAGACGGGUGAGUAACGCGUGGGAAUCUACCCAAUACUACGGAAUAGCUCCGGGAAACUGGAAUUAAUACCGUAUGUGCCCUACGGGGGAAAGAUUUAUCGGUAUUGGAUGAGCCCGCGUUGGAUUAGCUAGUUGGUGGGGUAAUGGCCUACCAAGGCGACGAUCCAUAGCUGGUCUGAGAGGAUGAUCAGCCACACUGGGACUGAGACACGGCCCAGACUCCUACGGGAGGCAGCAGUGGGGAAUAUUGGACAAUGGGCGAAAGCCUGAUCCAGCCAUGCCGCGUGAGUGAUGAAGGCCUUAGGGUUGUAAAGCUCUUUUAGUGGGGAAGAUAAUGACGGUACCCACAGAAAAAGCCCCGGCUAACUUCGUGCCAGCCGCCGCCGUAAGAC